rnacentral:lncRNA from 1 species
GGAGUGUUGCCUUAGUUUGAAACAAAGGGGCUCUUUCUUGCUCUCUGCACAUUUUUGAAGCUUUACACAGGGAUUUAAGGGUCAUAGGAGCUGGGCACAAGCAGUCAGAGGACAGGUUGGGUAUGACUGGGAGGAUGGAGUGAAUCAAAGCUCACUGAGAAGGAGUGGAUCAUGGAGUAUGCUGAGGAGGAACAGCAACUGACCAGUCAGAGGCAGUAGCUGGAGUAGCUGGUUAUUUCCAAGGACCCAUAAGGCCAGGGCUGAGCACAUCUGUAUCCUUGGAAUCCAGCUGGAAGAGGUGGCACAGCCUGCAGGAACUGGGGACAGGGUGUGUUGAUGGUGGACCAAAGCGAAGGGCACCUGGUAGGCCCGUGCUCAGGCCACACACACACACACACACACACACACACACACACACACACGCAGAGGGCAGGGUAGAUCCGAGGAGCGUGCAGCAGGAGUGCAGGGGCUGCCUGGGCUCCAGGCCCUCUCUGCUUCCUGGGCAUCUGCUUGAGCCUCCCUAGUGCACAGCCAGCCGGAAGUCAAAGUCAAGAAGGAUUUCCACCAAGUCCAGGGUGCAAAGCCAGUGCGGCAAUGGGUGGGGUCAGGAGGCAGCGUGGCAGCCAGGCAUGCCCUCUUGGUGAAGGCGGCCCACUGGCUGCCUUCUGGGCAUAGCAGAGCCAGCCCUGGAGGCCUGUGGAAAGAGCCAAUAUACAGGCAGAGGCCUGAUGCAUUUCAUUCUGGGAAAUGUGUAUGGCAAACUAAAACAUAAAUUGUUUCCCCUUUUAUAUGUCUGCUAAUUUAGUGCAUGUUUGUUCUAUUCAGGUUUGUUUAGCCAAUUCAAUUAAUUAUACAUGUGCCAGAGUCAAAAACAAGAUUACCAGCCGGGAGUGAUAGCACACUCCUGUAAUCUCAGCUGCUGAGGCUAAGGCAGGAGAAUCACAAGUUCAAGGCCAGCCUCAGCAAUUUAGUGAGGCCCUGAGCAACUUAGUGAGACUCUGCCCUAUAAUAAAAAAUAAAAAGGCUGGGGAUGUGGCUCAGUGGUUAAGUGCCUGUGGGUUCAACUUCUGGUACCAAAAACAAACAACAAAAAACAAAAAGAGGCAGACAGGGAUUCCGCACAGGAAUCCACACAGGGGUGUUGAGGAAUAUGGCAGGUUACAGGUGUCUGUUGGGUUUUCAAGAGUCCCUAAGUUACCAUAGCAACAAAACAGCAUAAUUUCUUGGACCUAGAGGCGCAGGCCACCCAGAUGUCAUACAAGUUACCAAGCACGGGUCUAGCCUGAUGGUGAGACCUCUGUGAAGCCCUUGUCCUUCAGGUCCAAGUGAUAUUGGCACUGGGGCUUCUUUGACCUGACUUAGAUGCUCCCUGCAAACAGCUUUCUGACAAGCAGUGCACGUUUAUGCCAUUUCCCCAUCACAACUGUAGAAAGAUCACAUGUGAUUCACAGCCAGAUUCUCCGUGUAUCGUGGGAAUGGUUUGUUGGUGGCAUGAAGAAGCCUCCCAACAAAGCCUGCUGCAGCUCUACACACUCCCCCGUCCAGAGCAAGGGAGUCCAGGCACAUAGAGGAGUGAGCAGAAGCCUGCAGCCAGGGCUCACACUGGGUGAUCACUACCAGCAGUCCCUUCUCCAGCACCGUGGAGGGGACACUGGCCACUGGCAGCUAGAGUGGCUUCCUCCACUUUCACCUUGGUGCGCCAUCCUCCAGCAUCUCAGCACGAUGUUUGCUCCCUCAAGAGAGUGAGGCCCUGUUUCCGGCAGCACUGGGCAACCCAAGCACUGGAGCUUUUCCUGUGGGGGAGGCUGCUGUGAUAGUGAAACAGGCUAAGCUCAGGAGAAGAUCAUUUCCCAUUUGCAAGUCAAGAACAAAUGUCCCAAACACCUGACUUCACUUUGAUCAUAUUGCAAUUUGACUCGAGAGGCUAAGAUUUCAAUGAAGCCAGGGCUUCAUUGUUCUAUUCAGGUUUGUUUAGCCAAUAUGUGUACUGUGACCCACAUGUUGAGACAGCAUGGAUCCUCACAAUGUGGAACACACUUUAGGUUCUACAAAUGCCUACAAGAUACAGUAGGACCCAUUGCCAGAAAUAUUGGAAGACUUUGUAUGGAAAGAAAAACCUUUAGGUAUAGACAGGAAAUCUGACCUCAGCCAGCACAGGCCCUUGCUUGCAGACUCAGAGUAAAACAGACUGCAGCCCAGCCCCAAGCAGCUACAACUGGUAAGCAGCAGUAGGACUUCCCCACUCAUCCACUUCACUUUAUUUUUGGGAGCUAAGCACUGGUAUUUUUAAAAGUCUCCCAAGGUAAACUACUGAUUUAGAAGAAAUCCAACACCGAGCAGCUGAGGCUUUGGAUCAGAGUUUACAGUGUUUGGACAGAUCUCUGCGCAGUCCUCAACAGGGCUCUGCUUGGGUCAUGCUGUGCUGAAGAGCAAGUGGUAUUUGCUAAAUGUCAAGAUGGCUCCAUAUAGUCCUUGUGGAGAGCGAUGCCAGAUUCAGACUGACUCAUUCCACCAACUUACUUUACUGAGCGAUGAAAUCUAUGCAGACCAGGCAAAACUCCCCCCAUCUCCUAACCUGUGAUAGUGAUUUCUGAUUUUAUUUUGAAGAUAAGAGGUCUUGUGAUUUUUGAAAUGAUUUCUCUAUCUACCAGAAAUAGCUCUGUAAUCUAAACUUUUAACUGUGGGCUCAUAUUCUCCGAGAAGAUAAAACUAUCCAUAUGUAUGUUCUAUUUCCUUCAAUGAAGAUCUUCAAAAUUACAUGAAUAUAUUAGUAAACCUUACAAAAAGAAACUGACACAAUACCCUGAGCUUGUCCUUUCUUCCUCACCUCCCACUCUGUCCUUUGCUUCUGUCAGAGCCACAUCAAGAUUAUUUAAGUCAUCCUCAUUAUUGCCCUGGGGUCCUGCAUCACCAGGGCUGCCUGGCUCCUUCCAGGCUCCUCUGAGUUGGCCUGGCC